UGUGUUUUCCAAAGACAAACACACACAUAGAGCAACAAGCAAGCUGGGCUUUGCUGGAAACACAGCUUAUUCACAGAGUGAAGCUUGGCUAAAAUUCAAUCUUAUAAUAUUCAGAAAGUUCAAAGUUUCCAGUUUAAUGCAUAGAAAGUAAGAAAUUUUGAAAAGCAUUUGAAAAAUUAUCUCUCCAUUCUGAAGGCUCAGAUUUCACAUUGUGAAAGGCAAAACUUUCGCAUCGCAAUUGCAGCAAAACAGAGCCUUCUGAUUUGCUGGCUGCUUCAAAUAACAGUUGUCCCUUUGAUAGUAUUGACACCUAUCUCCUUUCACAAUCUAGUGCUUCUCCUGCACUUUGUAACAUAUCCCAUCUGUUUUUUAGGGCCCCUGUCAUAAGGAAACCUGGGAGAGCGAAGAAAGGCCUGAUUGAUCACAAGGUCCUAUCAAAUGUCAAAGCUGGCCCUGGCUGACCUCCCAUCUAUUCAGAGCUGCUUUGAUUUAAUCUCCAAACUGGCUGCUUCUCUAGGCUGUGAGUUCUGUCUGCAACCCAUGUGUCAGCAUUGAGAUAUGACCUGCUUCACGCUCCAUUCAUCUCAUUUGAAGGACGGAAAUUAAACUGGAGGGUCGAAGAGGGGAACUGCUCAAAAUACACACACAUUAACUGAAGGCUUUUGUGUGGGUGCAUUAUGAGUUUGAACAACCAUUAAAAAUUAUAUUAAAAUGAAAUUGAUCUUUACUCCACUGAAAUGGUUUAGAACUUUGCCCCCCUCCCACUACCCUCUCAUCUAUUCUUUCUUAUAGUAAUCAGGUGAUCCUGAUCUCAUUAAGGUUCAAAGUAAAGGAGAGAGAAAUUUACAAAUUUUCAGUUUGUUUUAAAAGGUGUCCUUUAGAAAAUUAACUUAUUGCCUGUGAUUUGCACAGUAAAUAUUUGAAAAAAAAAUAGAGAUCCUAAAAGCUGAUAACCAGACUAACAGAAAUGUAGACUGCUAUGUUUAGCACUAUUGAUUAAAGUAAGUUUUACUUUCCAAGGUUUUUUUUUUUUUUAAACUCAUUUAAAAUUCAAACUUUGGGAAUAGUCCUCUAACUAUCCUGACACGUAGCUGUAGUAUAAAUCUAUGUAUCCUUGGUUCCAUUAUUUCUUUCUCAACUUGCCUUGCUCUUUUUAUUGGCCCUUUUACACUAUUAAGCAAGGUUAGUAACUACUGAAAGCUUGAUUUCUUACAGAUUUGUUUGUUAUAAUCUCAAAAGUAAACUCUAUUUCAUCUACUAGUGGUGUUCCAAAAUUAUGACUUAGGAUAAUAAUAUUCCAAAUGUGUUUGGAAAGGGAGUUAUAUUUAUUUCUACACGUAUUCAUUAGCUCAUACAUUCGUGCACUUGUUAUUUGAACUUUCUACUAUAACGAUACCCAGGUAGGGAAAAUGCCUUCUAUUCUUUAUUUAUAAAGUGUAUUGCACGUUUCCUGUUAUAAUAGUAGUGUAUAUCCACUAUCAAUAAACAAUCAACAAAGACAGAUGAGGAGAGAGAAUGAGACAGAGACAGAGAGACAGAGAGAGAAGGACAGACAGUAUACUAACACUUUUUAUUUUCCUUUGUGGAAUCACAUUGUUCCUUUUUGGGAGAAGACUACACUUUCAGUUGUUUUGGUCACCCCCCUUUAUGUAUAUAUAAUAUCAUUUUGUAUGGAAGUGAUGAUUUUAUUUUGUUAAUAUUUUCCUGAAGACCAUUUAAGUUUAAAAAAAAAUUUGCCACUAUAAAUGUUAUUAUAUAAAAAUAUUUUUAUGCUUCCAUGAUUUUCUCCAAAAUUCUCUAAUAUGAAAAUAGGCUGUGCCCAAUUUACUAUUUUCAGUCAAAAGUGUUAUCUUUUCUUUUACAGUUCUUCAUUUGAAUAUUCACUUGGAAAUAACUUUCCUUCCUAAAUGAUCAUAUGUGUUUUCUUUAGUAUAUAUUAUUUACUUGUUUUAUAUUUAAUAUGUGUAAGAGAAUGAAUACUAUAGUGAAUAUUCAUGUUAUUUCUACAUAAACCAUUUCACAGGACUUAUGGAAAAGAUUUCAAAUCUAGUUAUAUGGAGGAAAAGAUUCUGAGCAUCUGAGGCAUUCAAAGAAUGCCACUUAAGCAUUUAGUUUGCAAGCAGGAAAGCAGAAGAACACAAUAUGAUUGUAUCUCUCUUGUACUGCUUCUCAGUAAAAUCUCUCUUCCUGCAUAUCCUUAUGUAAAUAUCUUAUUACUCAAGGCAGAAUGUAUUAAAAAAUGCAUUUUGCAAUUUAAUUCAUUCCUUACAGUGCCAGGUGGGAAGCUGAUUCUUUGUUUUAAUGUGAUACUUUGCAAUAGAGCUUUUUGCAAUGAUGGAAAUGUUCUAUAUUUGCACUGUUCAAUAUGGUGGCCACUGGCUACAUGUGGCUACUGAACAUGUGAAAUGUAGUUACCGCAACUGAGGAAAUGGAUAAUUGUAUGUAAUUUAAAUUGUGGCCAGUGGCUCUCUUAUUGAACAAUACAGCUUUGGUAGUUUUGCCAUUAUUUAAAGUAUGACAAUAGUUUGUUAAACAUUGUAGAUGUUUACCCAGUUAUUCAAGUUCAUUUCAUUAAAGAAUAAGUAUUAGAUGGUGAGAAACUAAUAGUCCUGGAAUAAAAUAAUAAGAAGAAAGAUAAAGCCUACUUGUGCCCUGAAAGACAUUUUUCGCGUUUUCUUUCAGAGAAGAAGAUUCAAAGUUUCAAUAAAGAAAGGUGAUGAUAAUGUCUUCCUGGAACCCUUGGCUAAGAUGGAUUGGCAAAGAAUAAAAUGAUCUAGGUUCUAAAAUUUGGCUUUGAUACUAACC
rnacentral:lncRNA from 1 species